AGAUGCAGGAGGAGCAGGACAAUUUAUAGUUGCAGGUCGUGCAGCAGCAACAAGAGGAUGGGGACGGGGAUGGUGGUGGUGGUGGUGGUGAUGAUGAGGAACCUUAGGUGAGCUCGCUCUUGUGCUUAUCCAUGUCUUAUACUUUGGUGUUAUUGCUCUGCGUGUGCUAUUCCUACCAAUUUACUGCUCCGCUUAAGCUUACAGACCAACGUGUUAAGGAUGUGUUUCUUUUGUUGGUUACUGUCAUCCCAAGCCAAAAAAUAGAAUUUUGUUCAAUAAUUCCUGCCAGAUGCAGUAAUUUCUCAUGUUGUUUGGAACCUCAUCGUGUGUGCCUUAAGGAAUUUGGUUUGAGGGAAAGGUUGGUCCUCAUACAUCGAUGAUAACAUUAUGAGGUACAAAUCAAAAUGCUUACUGGUGUAAUAGUUGUUACAAACCAGGGUACAUAACAGGAGAGAAAGGGAGGGAGAGGGGUGAAAAAAAUGCUUGCCUGUCUUUAGAGAUGAACUUUCCUCCGUCAGUAAAAAUGUCCGCCGGUUGAUCCACAUCACCCAUUCAGACGACGCGGAGUUCCCAUAUAUGUUUCAUUCUGCUGCAUUCCAGAGCCAGCCGAGACACAGUUUCAUGGUUGCUGCAGCCAAAUGGGCAGUUGUCAUUGUCGACGGAUCCUUGUUUUUCCAAAACGACCCUAACUUUAAUCCUGUGUUUACAAGUAGGCAGGCAAUUAUUUUGCAUUUUUUGGGUGCCAAACAGUUUCAAAUGUUACUGUAAGCUAGCUCUUUGACCCCUCCAAAAUUCAUGAGCUCGUAGCAUUUUCCAACAGAGAAGGGUACUGAGUGAUUUAUACAAAGGGCUCGCUUGUCCAGAGAUCCCUCUGGAGACCUACAAAGUUGAGGAAGAAUGCAAGCGAAUGGAGCUUGUUGAGUUAUUGGUGCUCUGCUCUACACUACUGUCCCUUGGACCACUAUCUCGCAAAAGAGAGGAAGCCAAACAUAGGUACAUGUGUUUUCCUUCGCCCAAUCCAAUAGAUUUUUCUUAGGGCCGUUGACUACAUCAUUUAACCCCACAUAAAUGGUUGGGAACCAGAUAAAACGAAUUACAUUUCUCUUUUUAUCACUAUACUUAUGCUAUCUGGAAAAGCUGGAGCGCAUAACAUUUUUAGUUUAGCCACAGGGUGCUUGAUGCUUCAGUCACAGGAAGAAAUCGAGGCAAAAAGUCAAUUCUGAUUGUUCUUAAUGUUAAUUUGUAUUUACAUUUUGUAAUCUUUUCCUCACUUUUCCAAGAUUUGUUAUAGAUACUUCGCGGAUGUUACCUGCGAAAACUGGAAUGAUUUCCUCAGUGUAUGGACAGACUAGGGAGAGUUAUGUUUUCCUCUACUAAUGUUGCAUGGACCAAUGUUCAAAAAUCUAAUAUUACUAAAAGUUCAUUGCCUAAUUAAUAAACUUUCCAAAAGUUAUGAGCGAGAAACUGUGGUUAUCAAUAGUAACGUUUGAUUCAUCCCAAUAUUUAAGAUUACAAGGUCGAGGUGCCUUUUCCUUAUAGUAACCAUGGUUUUAUUAUUUGGCUUCUUCUGCAUAUCCUUUAGUUUAGUUUUCAGUAUGAUCACAAUCACGAGGUAAAUAUGAGUAGUAUCAUAUUCUAAUUAGAAAUUGAGACAAAUUUAAGAAAUUAGUAAUUGCAUAGUAAUUAUAGCCAAAUGCUAGAGAUGUACAAAUAGAGCCUCUGUAAACUAAUAUAAGAUCAUUUAGAUCACUACUUUAGUAGUCUAAAAGAUUUUAUAUUAGUUUACAGAGGGAGCACUCAAUUAUUAUGUAACACUUGAUUUUCUCCAUCUACAACUGUGUUAUGUUUUCUGACAUUGGUGUACUGUUUUUCUUAUUCAUCCCUGCAAAAAAAUUAGUCUUUAACACUGUUGUUGCGACAGUGUCGGGUUCUCUGGUUGAGGUGCUUUUUGGUUGAUUUUCUUAGUUGCUUUUGGUUUUGUCAAGGGUCUCACAUUGAAUUUUGUUGCAGGUCCAUGCCUCUGCUGCUCCGCAUCGCUGCACCAUGGCCUCUGCUGCUCCGCAUCGCGGCUCCUCAGUCAAGCUCAUGUGACGCCAUCACCAGGACCCUCUGCCGGACAUGCUCCACCUCCUUCGCCUCCAAACUUUUUAGGCUGCUGCUCCUGUGUCCAUGGCGUCCCGGAGAAGCAAGGGUUCUGCUGAUUGUAUUGUCAAAGUGGCUGGGCGCUGUCAUCUUCUUUUGCAGGAUGUGGACAGUGCAAGUAGCAGCUCCGACGCAGGGGCGUGGGUGUGCGGUGUAGGAAGCGGUUCCUCGCUGGUUGGACGGCGUUCAAGCGCAACCCCAGCGCCCACUGAGUACUGCCUCGGCUACAACCUCCAUUGGUGAACUCCAUCUUCCGCCUACUCCUCUGCUUUGGCUACUGUUGGGACAUGGCUGUGGCUAUGUCGAUGUGGUGCUGGUUGGUUGUUGCUCUAUGCCCUACUCAUGCAUAGGGUUUGCAGGCUGUUCAUGUUAUAGUUGUUGUCAUAGGAGCUCCCGUGAUUCUCUGGUUUACAUGUGGAUGCCCUGAUCCUAUAGCUAUGCUCAUGGAUUUGCUAAGUUGAUCAGUGGCAGUGCUGAUUUCCUAUUUGCAAACUGCCAAAUGAUCUCUUGCUCAUAGCCACAUCUACAUUUGUAGUGUGUAAUUUGGUGUUGUCUGGGAUAGCUGAUCUACCACCACUUGAAUGAGCUGAUAGGUGAUGCCACUGGAGCUGCUAGCCCUGCGGAGCUUUCUAGAGCAUCCAGAAAUAAGAGAAGGAUGUCUCACCGACCCUCCUCAGAGCUCAGACGAAUCCGGCCGUCCGAUCGAUUUCCUUGAUGUGUUUCCGGUCGUUGGAUCAAGCGGUGGGAGGAGCUGGGCCGUCGGAUCGAGCCCGCAUGACUGUGGCAAUGAAUAGUUACACUCCGGGCUUGCCACCGUGUGUAAAACUGGGUGGCCGCCGAGGGCAUUUUCGUCGUUUCACAUGGUCGGACAGCCAGCCGGUCCGAGGCCAUUCUUGCUAGGGCGAUGAUGAUUGACCAUGGCUAAAAUAAGUGUGCCUUUGAGCAAUCGAGGCACCUGUGGAUAUCAAGUUGGAUCCCCCUCUUGUCUCUAGAAUCCUUUUUGAUCAUGUGAUACUUAUUGUUCUGUCCUUGGAUGGUCAUUCUUUUUGAGUGAUAACCAGGACAGCUCCACUGUAUAAACAGAUUGAUCUGGUGAUAAGAGAUGACGGGGGUAGGUUAUAUGAUCGAGGAAAGGUGAAUCUGAGCCCACCAUGCAAUGAACCCUGAACCUUUUUUAUUUGUGUUUAAAGGUGUUGCUUAUUUAUGCUCUAGUGUUUAUAGCCGUCUUAUGUAAAGAUUUCUUCUCUCAUACCUUUAUUGCAUUGUUCUUGAUCUUUUAUUGUUUGUUGUUGGUCCUUGAUUUAAUCUGGUUAAGAUUUCUUCUCUCUUAUGUAAAUAUUUCUUCUCUCUCAUACCAAUGUUUUGUCCAUGUGGUAAUAGAUAUAUAUUUACAUGGAAAAUGGGGUAUGUUCUAAACGUUUCCCAAAGGAUUUUCAGAACAAGACAACUAUUGAUGAAAAUGGUUUUGCUUUGUAUAGGCGUCGUGAAAAUGGGCGAAGAUAGUUCUUAUGGUGGCAUCUUCUGGUGUUGCGGCUUUGCUGCUUGCUGGUGGUAGAACAGCUGACUCUCGAUUUAAAAUAGCGUUGCAGAUUGACCAGACUACUCUUUGUGACAUCAAAAGAGGCACACAUCUGUGUAAUCUUUUGAAAGAUACUUCUUUAAUCAUCUGAUUCAUUGGUGCGUGCUCCCCCUAUUACUCGGCGCUUAGAAGAAGGAGAGGCAUGGUCUCCACCAAAAACAGAGGAGGAAGAAGUAAGAUGCUGCUAGCCCCCCGUGGCCUGUUGCGUCUCCAAUCAGCGCUUGCAACAGGGGAGCCACAUCCCUGGCCUCUCCAUGCCUCCCCAAGCGCCAACCUAUAGGCUACAACAACAAGGUUAUCAAAGGGAAUUGUGUAUGGCUGUUGACAAUCCAGAUUGUGGGCGGCUAAGAGGUUUUCUGGGCGUCCGAUCAAGAUCUGGAGAAAGAUGGGCCAUCGGAUCUGGGAUGAGCACUGCUGGAAUGAACAGUUACUGCCUCAGCGCGCUGCCUUUUACUUCAUUUUUUCGGUCUGGCGUCGCUGGCGUGUGGGUCCGCUCGCGGGUGGGCCGCGUUUGUCAGCGACCGUGGCUUGGAUAUGGCCCGGCCGCCCCGUCGCGCGCACCGACGGGUAAAGAUCUCGUGCUACCGCUCGUAAUAUCCUGCGCCCGCUGAGGGUACGUCAGUAAUUUCGCGUCCAGGCCUCGUGCGUGUCGUGCAGUGGUUCGCCCCGUGCGGCUAUGGGGUGGGGAAGGGCAGCGCCUUGCCCUUUCGUGCUCAUUCAUCCCCUUCUUCUCCUUCCCUCUGGAUUCUUCUACUAGCCAGCCAUCAGGAGCUCCUGGUGCUCCUGGAUCUGGAUGUGAUAUACAUCACCUCCUCACCUCUUGGCUGCUUCGGUGCCUGUGGCGUUCGUGCUCAUCGGUGGGACGGUGCAAGGCGCAACUUCGAUGCAGUGGUGUGUAUGUGCGGUGUAGGAAGCGGUUCCUCGCCGGCUGGACGGCGUCCAGGCACAACCCCACGUCCACUGAGUAAUGCAUCGGCUACAACCUCCCUCAGUGAGCCCCAUCUCCCUCCCGCUCUGCUUCGGCUACUAUAUGGGACAUGGACAGGGCUAUGAUGAUCAGUUAUGGCUUAUAUAGGCAUGCUCUCGAGCAAUCGAGGCACUUAUGGGUAUUAAUUUGGAUCCCCCCUCGUUUCUUUGAGCCAUUUUUUGAUCACGUUUUUAUUUUAGUGACUCUGUCCUUGGAUGGUCAUUUCUGAUGAUUGAUAACCAAGGCAGUUUCACAUGACCCACCGGUUGGAAGCCAUUCUUGCUUGGGCGAUGAUGAUUAACCGUGGUUGAAAUAAAUGUGCCUUUGAGCAAUCGAGAAACCUGUGGGUAUCAAGUUGGAUCCUCCCUCUUGUCUCUAGAAUCCUUUUUGAUCUUGUGAUACUUAUUGUUCUGUCCUUGGAUGGUCAUUCUUAUUGAGUGAUAACCAGGACAACUCCAAUGUAUAAAUAGAUUGAUCUGGUGAUAAGAGAUGACGGGGGUAGGUUAUGUGAUCGAGGAAAGGCAAAUCUGAGCCCACUAUGCAUUGAACCCUGAACCCUUUUUAUUUGUGUUUAAAGGUGUUGCUUAUUUAUUCUCCAGUGUUUAUAGCCAUCUUAUGUAAAUAUUUCUUCUCUUUGAUACCUUUAUUGCAUAUGAGUUGUUUUUUCAUCUUUUAUUGUUUGUUGUUGGUCCUUGAUUUAAUCUGGUUAAGAGUAAGUUGCACUUUGUUAUUAUGGGAUAAACGAUGGUUUGGCAAUGCUAUUGGUUCUUCAUGAGUUCAGAGGAGGAUUUCUGAUAUUAUUUUAUUGUUAAAUAGUCAUGAUAGUAAGAUUCUUGUAUCUGUUCGCUGUGAGGAGCAAUGGGGCAUUGCACGCUUAUGUGUACUGCUACCUGUUAUGGUUGGUCUUUUGUAUAAAGGCCUUGCUAUAAUUUUUAUAGUCCUUCUUCCCUAAGGUGUAUUAUGAAUGUUUUUCCGAGCUAUGGAAUGUAUUCCUAAUCCUGAUCUAUAGGACUGCCUUUCUGAACUUGAUGUCUAAGUUCUACUGGACAAUGCUUAUUUGGAUAGACGCUCAUGGGUUAAGUUAUUUGAUGCAUUGCUUUCACUAUCAAAUUGUUCGCUACUUUGAGGAUUUGGCUGCAUACUGUAUUGUUUUGUAUUUGGUGGACUGGACCAAGAGCGCACAGAGGGAGAUCUUCUCUGCCGCACCGACAACAGCAAUAGAGAAAAUCCAGUCCACGGUGCCACCAAUGAGAAAGAACAUAGUCAAAUUCUGUGACACACACACAACCAAGACAUACCAUUGGACUGUACAGGAAUAAUGGGAUGCCGUCAUUUGUUACUCGACCUAGCCUUGCUGCUUGAGCAAGUUGCCCCUGGUUUGGUUCCCUGAUGCGCACCGGUGGUGCGCGAUAGAGUGUGCACGGGGGAUUCUUCUUCCACUCUGAUGCCUCCCGCCCUGCCCCUCCGGUGGCAUCAGUUCCUCUUUCAGUUCUGCAUCUCUGCUGGUUGGUCGGCCGGUGCGGCGCAAAUCUGGUUCGACGAGGUCGUUGACGACCUGCUGCAGGAGUGGGACAAUGGGAUCAGCUCCGGGAGGUCCGGGGCACGCUGCUGCCGCUCGUGUAGCAGAAGUCUAACUGCUCCGAGGUGAUGAUUUCCCUGGUUAUUACUCACUCGGUGAUGUUCUGAACCACAAUGGUGUUGUUGCCUCGACAAUGAGUUCCUCAACUUACGUGACUGAUGAGCUGGGGCGUGAAGAUCAUGGCUCUUAUGAUUUGUAUACAGACCUUACUACUGUAUUGUACUGGGGUAGAAUGCCUCUAUGAAGGUGUUUUGACCCUCUAUGAAUGCUUAUUUUUAUGUUGUA